rnacentral:rRNA from 1 species
AAUUGCUAGUAAUGGCAGGUCAGCAUACUGCCGUGAAUACGUUCCCGGGCCUUGUACACACCGCCCGUCACACCAUGAGAGUUGGAAAUACCCGAAGCCUGUGAGCUAACAGUAAUGAGGCAGCAGUCGAAGGUAGAGCCGAUGAUUGGGGUGAAGUCGUAACAAGGUAGC